AGGUCUUGACAUACCAUGAAAAGCUAAGAGAUUAGUCUUUCCCUUCGGGGACAUGGAUACAGGUGGUGCAUGGUUGUCGUCAGCUCGUGUCGUGAGAUGUUGGGUUAAGUCCCGCAACGAGCGCAACCCUUAUUAUCAGUUGCCAGCAUUCAGUUGGGCACUCUGGUGAGACUGCCGGUGAUAAACCGGAGGAAGGUGGGGACGACGUCAAAUCAUCAUGCCCCUUAUGACCUGGGCUACACACGUGCUACAAUGGUCGGUACAACGUGUUGCGAACUCGCGAGGGCAAGCAAAUCACUUAAAACCGAUCUCAGUUCGGAUUGCAGGCUGCAACUCGCCUGCAUGAAGCUGGAAUCGCUAGUAAUCGCGGAUCAGCAUGCCGCGGUGAAUACGUUCCCGGGCCUU
rnacentral:rRNA from 1 species